UACGAGGGGGGCGAAGCGUUGUUCGGAAUUAUUGGGCGUAAAGGGUGCGUAGGCGGCCUGACAAGUCUGAUGUGAAAUCCCGUGGGCUCAACCCAGGGCCUGCAUCGGAAACUGUCGGGCUUGAGUAUGGGAGAGGUGAGUGGAAUUUCCGGUGUAGCGGUGAAAUGCGUAGAAUAUCGGAAGGAACACCUGUGGCGAAAAGCGGCUCACUGGACCAUUACUGACGCUGAGGCACGAAAGCUGGGGGAGCAAACAGG
rnacentral:rRNA from 1 species